rnacentral:rRNA from 1 species
UCAAGCUACAAAGAGCACAAGGGGAAUGCCUUGGCACCGAGAGCCGAAGAAGGACGUGACUAACUGCGAUAAGCUGCGGGGAGCCGUAAGUAGGCUUUGAUCCGCAGAUUUCCGAAUGGAGCAAUCCGGCAAGAGGAAAGUCUUGUCAUCAUAUACUGAAUACAUAGGUAUAUGAGGGGAACCGCCUGAACUGAAACAUCUAAGUAGGGCGAGGAAGAGAAAUCAACUGAGAUUCCGUAAGUAGUGGCGAGCGAACGCGGAAGAGGCCAAACCGAGAGUAGUAAUACUUUCGGGGUUCGGACAGAAUACGGCAUUGUAAAGGUUUAGUGGAAUGGAAUGGGAAGUCCAACCGAAGAAGGUGAGAGUCCUGUACACGAAAAGCCUGAACAGCCAUCUGUAUCCAGAGUACCGCCGGACACGUGAAACCCGGUGGGAAUACGGGGGGACCAUCCUCCAAGCCUAAAUACUACUCGGUGACCGAUAGUGAAGAAGUACUGUGAAGGAAAGGUGAAAAGUACCCCUGACGGGGAGUGAAAAAGAACCUGAAACCUUGUGUUUACAAGCACCGAAAGCUCAUCAAAGAGCGAUCGGGUACCUUUUGUAGAAUGGUCCGGCGAGUGAAUGUAACCGGCGAGGUUAAGCACUUAAGGUGUGAAGCCGCAGCGAGAGCAAGUCUGAAUAGGGCGUAUGAAGUCGGUUGUAUUCGACCCGAAACCGGGUGACCUACCCAUGGUCAGGUUGAAGUAAAGGUAAAACUUUAUGGAGGACCGAACCGACUCCCGUUGAAAUGGUAGCGGAUGAACUGUGGGUAGCGGAGAAAUUCCAAUCGAACCCGGAGAUAGCUGGUUCUCUCCGAAAUAGCUUUAGGGCUAGCCUUGAAAUAGAUUACCGGAGGUAAAGCACUGAAUUGGCUAGGGGCCGAGAGGUUACUGAACCUUAUCAAACUAAGAAUGCCGGAUAAUCGUUUUUCAGGAGUCAGACAGUGGGAGAUAAGUUUCAUUGUCAAAAGGGAAACAGCCCAGACCCACAGCUAAGGUCCCCAAGUAUAGUUAAGUGGAAAAGGAUGUGGAAUUGCACAGACAACCAGGAUGUUGGCUUAGAAGCAGCCACUCAUUAAAAGAGUGCGUAAUAGCUCACUGGUCGAGUGACUCUGCGCCGAAAAUUUAACGGGGCUAAACUAUACACCGAAGCUUGGGAUACAUCUAAUGUAUGGUAGGAGAGCGUUCUGUAUGGGGAGAAGUCGUAGCGAAAGCGGCGGUGGACUGUACAGAAGUGAGAAUGCCGGAAUAAGUAGCGAGAAUUAAGUGAGAAUCUUAAUGGCCGAAAGUCUAAGGUUUUUGGAGGAAGGUUCGUCCGCUCCAAGUAAGUCGGGAGCUAAGGUCAGGCCGAAAGGCGUAGCCGAUGCACAUACGGUUGAUAUUCCGUAACCAUCUGUAAUUUAAGCAAAGGGACACUUCAAAAGGGUGUGACCCGGGCGUUGGUUGACCCGGGCGUAAGGGACCGAAAUUAGAGUAGGGAAGCACACUUGGCUGAAGGCGAGAAAAGCUUUGCGUAUAGAAACAGAUGCCCGUACCGCAAACCGACACAGGUGGACAGGAAGAGAAUUCUAAGGCCAGCGGGAGAAGGGUAGUUAAGGAACUCGGCAAAUUGACUCCGUAACUUCGGAAUAAGGAGUGCUCGAAAGAGCCGCAGAGAAUAGGCCCAGGCGACUGUUUAGCAAAAACACAGGUCUCUGCCAAAUCGAAAGAUGAAGUAUAGGGGCUGACACCUGCCCGGUGCCGGAAGGUUAAGAGGAGGAGUGAGAGCUCCGAAUUGAAGCCCCGGUAAACGGCGGCCGUAACUAUAACGGUCCUAAGGUAGCGAAAUUCCUUGUCGGGUAAGUUCCG